UACGAAGGGGGCUAGCGUUGUUCGGAAUUACUGGGCGUAAAGCGCACGUAGGCGGGUCUGUAAGUAGGGGGUGAAAUCCCAGGGCUCAACCCUGGAACUGCCUUCUAGACUGCAGGCCUUGAGGUCAGGAGAGGCGAGUGGAAUACCGAGUGUAGAGGUGAAAUUCGUAGAUAUUCGGUGGAACACCAGUGGCGAAGGCGACUCGCUGGACUGAUACUGACGCUGAGGUGCGAAAGCGUGGGGAGCGAACCGG
rnacentral:rRNA from 1 species